CCUAGGCUGGGCCUCAGCGUAAUCCUAUUGAGCAUGAUUUUUAAGUCAUCACCUCUCUUCAGGAUAAUAUAAGGUUCUCAUCAUUGACCCAACCUAGAGCACCCCUCACCCCAAGCAUGGAUCCAGUGGGACCCAGCGUCGUCUUCCAAAAUUCUCCCCUCGGCUGG